UACGAAGGGGGCUAGCGUUGUUCGGAAUCACUGGGCGUAAAGGGCGCGCAGGCGGCCAUUCAAGUCAGAUGUGAAAGCCCCGGGCUCAACCUGGGAGGUGCAUUUGGGACUGGAUGGCUUGAGAUCGGGAGAGGAGAGUGGAAUUCCCAGUGUAGAGGUGAAAUUCGUAGAUAUUGGGAAGAACACCGGUGGCGAAGGCGGGUCUCUGGGCCGAUACUGACGCUGAGGAGCGAAAGCGUGGGGAGCGAACAGG
rnacentral:rRNA from 1 species